CGGCAGCGCGGGAAACCUGGCGGCGAGUGGCGAACGGGUGAGUAAUAUAUCGGAACGUACCCAGAAGUGGGGGAUAACGUAGCGAAAGUUACGCUAAUACCGCAUACGAUCUACGGAUGAAAGUGGGGGACCUUCGGGCCUCAUGCUUGUGGAGCGGCCGAUAUCUGAUUAGCUAGUUGGUAGGGUAAAGGCCUACCAAGGCGACGAUCAGUAGCUGGUCUGAGAGGACGACCAGCCACACUGGAACUGAGACACGGUCCAGACUCCUACGGGAGGCAGCAGUGGGGAAUUUUGGACAAUGGGCGCAAGCCUGAUCCAGCAAUGCCGCGUGAGUGAAGAAGGCCUUCGGGUUGUAAAGCUCUUUUGUCAGGGAAGAAACGGUCGAGAAUAAUACUUUUGGCUAAUGACGGUACCUGAAGAAUAAGCACCGGCUAACUACGUGCCAGCAGCCGCGGUAAUACGUAGGGUGCAAGCGUUAAUCGGAAUUACUGGGCGUAAAGCGUGCGCAGGCGGUUUUGUAAGUCUGUCGUGAAAGCCCCGGGCUCAACCUGGGAAUUGCGAUGGAGACUGCAAGGCUUGAAUCUGGCAGAGGGGGGUAGAAUUCCACGUGUAGCAGUGAAAUGCGUAGAGAUGUGGAGGAACACCGAUGGCGAAGGCAGCCCCCUGGGUCAAGAUUGACGCUCAUGCACGAAAGCGUGGGGAGCAAACAGGAUUAGAUACCCUGGUAGUCCACGCCCUAAACGAUGUCUACUAGUUGUCGGGUUUUAAUUAACUUGGUAACGCAGCUAACGCGUGAAGUAGACCGCCU
rnacentral:rRNA from 1 species